GCAAGAGGUGCGUAUUGUAACUCUAUGUCUAACUCCUGUUGAAGUUAAUCUAGGGAAUACCGUUUUCAGUAGAAUGCUGAUUAUUUCAUUUAUUAUCUUCACAGCUACUUUAAAGGAAGCAAAACAAAGGUUUUUAAGGCCAAUUAGCCAGAAAAAAAUGGAUGAACACCUCCUGGAACCUCUGAAGAGCUGACUGUUAUUUGCUGAAGAAGAAGAGAAUGAAUCUGCUACAAAAGCUAAAAUGAACAAGAGAAGAUCUAGGGCCCUUUUUUUUUUUUUUUGCUCCAUGUAGAAACUUAGACUUGCAUGGAGCUCCACAGAAGAUGGGGGAUGAGUCUUUGAUUAAAACAAAAAUAUUUAAUGCUAAGCUAGCACAAAUAUUAAUUGAGUAGAAGAUAAGUUGUAUUUUGGCUUUGCCUCUUCUGUAGUAAAUAUAUUCUUUUCUUAAGUUAUUUUCCAUGGAUAAUCCCCAAGAGACACUUCUGAAGUGAUAUGAAGAAAAAUAGAGCAGGUCUGAGCUUUCAUCUCCCUUUGUGGGAAUUUCCAAGCUGUACUCAUGAGAGAUAUGGACAAACUGGCAGGGCAGAAAUA
rnacentral:lncRNA from 1 species